AUGGGGAUGGAGGUGUUCACUGUUGGUGAGGCAAGUACUUCUUGGAGGGAAACCACUGUUGAUUUGUCCUACCCUGUUGUUGAGUGGAUUACCGGGAAAUUUGUAAACGGUGGAUUGUUUUGGCCCAUUGACAGCUACCAUCUUGAGCAUGAUCCAAAUGGCAUUGUCCGCUUCAGCCUAGAAGAUGAGACGUUCAGCGUCAUUCGUCUACCGGAUAUGUUGUCAUUGAACCGUAUGCUCGAUGAAUCCUUCUUGCUGGACGAGAUGCAGGGCGAGAUUUGCCUGACAGGUUUUACCAAGACUACGACGGAAGUGGCGGUCUGGAUGUUAGUUGAAGACCAUACUGUGGACUCUCGUUGGGAGCAUCGUUACUCUCUCUAUAUAUCUGAUCUGGUUCAACCAAUGUCGCUUCUUCCAGGGGGCGCAAUCAUGUUACAAGUUGGUCCCAUUUUCUACCGCUACGAGCUGCAGGCUCCAAACCAGAACCUGACGAACAUGUGUGAGUUGGAAGGGCUAAGAUACAAAGGCCGGAGGAGACGCACUACUAAGCAGAAUAUCUUCUUCUUCAACGUAAUCCCCUACAUGGAAAGUCUUGUUCGAAUUGUUGCUUAG
rnacentral:rRNA from 1 species